rnacentral:rRNA from 1 species
CCUACGGGAGGCAGCAGUGAGGAAUAUUGGUCAAUGGGCGCGAGCCUGAACCAGCCAAGUCGCGUGAAGGAUGACUGCCCUACGGGUUGUAAACUUCUUUUGUAAAGGAAUAAAGUGAGGCACGUGUGCCUUUUUGUAUGUACUUUAUGAAUAAGGAUCGGCUAACUCCAUGCCAGCAGCCGCGGUAAUACGGAGGAUCCGAGCGUUAUCCGGAUUUAUUGGGUUUAAAGGGAGCGUAGAUGGGUUGUUAAGUCAGUUGUGAAAGUUUGCGGCUCAACCGCAAAAUUGCAAUUGAUACUGGCAGCCUUGAGUACAGUUGAGGUAGGCGGAAUUCGUGGUGUAGCGGUGAAAUGCUUAGAGAUCACGAAGAACUCCGAUUGCGAAGGCAGCUUACUAAACUGCCACUGACAUUGAUGUGCGAAAGUGUGGGUAUCAAACAGGAUUAGAUACCCCAGUAGUC